UGGAGAGCGAGCAAGGAGGCAACUUCACGGGCAGGUUCUAGGGCCCUGGAAAAAGGAAGGAAGGGGAAGAAAGGAUGAGAAAAGGAAGAGAUUGAGGCAAGGACCCCACUGAAGACAAAAAGCAAGAAAACGAACAAAGAGAGGACAAGGGGCAGAGAAAGAAUGAGACCAGAAGGAGCAAUGAAGCCAAGAGCUUGAAAGACAGGAAGUGAGGAUGAUAAUGGAGAAGGAAAAUGCAUAUGAGUGGACAGAAAAGGGUCGUGUAUCAGUUACCUCUUGCCACAAUAAUGCUGUGUAACACACAAUCCCCAGACCACAGUGGCAUUCUACAAUGAACAUUAAUUUUUGCUCAUGAGCCUAUGGAUUGAUUUGGGGGAUCUGCAGAUCUGGUGGGGCUCACUUCCAAGUCUGUGGUCAAGUAUAGGCCAGCAAGGUGGCUUUGCUAAUGUUGCUGGUCUCUCUCACCGUCUGGGGCCUCCCAGGGACAACUCAGCUGACUUGUCUCUGCUCCAUGUGGCCCCUCAUUCUGCUUCAGGCUAGCCCGGCCUUGUCCUUAGGGAGCCCGUUCCAAACACAGUUCCAAGAGAGCAAGUGGAAAUCCAUGAGGCCUCUUGAAACCUCCGCUCAAGACUGGCACCCUAUCACUUCCACCAUUUCUAUUGGCUAAAGGAGAUUGCAAGUCCGGCCCAGAUUCAGAGGGUAGGGAAAUAGACUCCAUCUCUCAGUGGGAGGAGCUGCAAAGCCACGUUGCAAGGGGCACAGUUAUGGAGAAGGGAAGAAUUGGGGCUAUGUUUGCAAUCAAUCAACCACAGAUCAGAAACUAGAGAGAUCUGGAAUUGAAAUGUUACACUUUCUAAAACAUUUGGGUAAUUCUGAGAGAUUGGGUCCUGUCACUGAGUUUUGGACUUUUUAUGAAGUUGUGUUGACAUUGUAUAAUAUUGGGUGGGCCAAAAUGUUUGUUCGUUUUUUUCCCGUAAGAUGGCUCUAGUAGCACUUAGUUGUCUUUAACUUCGUUUAAAACAAUUUUGUUAGUUUGUAUGCGACAGCUGUCAUAUCAGUGUGCAUUUAAGAAAAGACAUCAAAAUUGGUGAAUUUUUGUGUAGCCAUUUUAACAUUGAAGAUGGAAGAAAAAAGAGCAACAUUUUUGGCAUAUUAUGCUUUAUUAUUUCAAGAAAGGUAAAAAUGCACCUGAAAUGCACAAAAAGAUUUGUGCAGUGUAUGGAGGAGGUUCUGUGGCUGAUCAAAUGUGUCAAAAGUGGUUUUCGAAGUUUCAUGCUGGAGAUUUUCCGCUGGACGUUGCUCCAUGGUCGGGUAGACCAGUUGAAGUUGAUAGCGAUCAAAUCGAAACAAUAAUUGAGAACCAUCAACGUUAUACCACGCAGGAGAUAGCUGACAUACUCAAAAUAUCCAAAUCAAGCGUUGAAAAUCAUUUGCACCAGCUUGGUUAUGUGAAUCGCUUUGAUGUUUGGUUCCACAUAAGUUAAGCGAAAAAAACCUUCUUGACCAUAUCUUUGCAUGCAAUUCUUUACUGAAACAGAAUGAAAAUGUUCCGUUUUUAUAACAAAUUGUGACGGGCGAUGAAAAGUGGAUACUGUACAAUAAUGUGGAACGGAAGAGAUCGUGGGGCAAGCGAAAUGAACCACCACCAACCACACCAAAGGCUGGUCUUCAUCCAAAGAAUGGGAUGUUGUAUAUACAGUGGGAUUGGAAGGGAGUCCUCUAUUAUGAGCUCCUUCCAGAAAACAAAACGAUUAAUUCCAAGUACUGCUCCCAAUGAGACCAACUGAAAGCAGCACUCGAUGAAAAGCGUCCAGAAUUAGUCACCAGAAAACACAUAAUCUUCCAUCAGGAUGACGCAAGGCUGCAUGUUUCUUUGAUGACCAGGCAAAAACUGUUACAGCUUGUCUGGGAAGUUCUGAUUCGUCCGCUGUAUUCACCAGACAUUGCACCUUCGGAUUUCCAUUUAUUUUUGUCUUUACAAAAUUCUCUUAAUGGAAGAAAUUUCAAUUCCCUGGAAGACUGUAAAAGGCACCUGGAACAGUUCUUUGCUCAAAAAGAUAAAAAAGUUUUGGGAAGAUGGAAUUAUGAAGUUGCCUGAUAAAUGGCAGAAGGUAGUGGAACAAAAGGACGAAUGUGCUGUUCAAUAAAGUUCUUGGUGAAAAUGAAAAAUGUGUCUUUAUUUUUACUUAAAAAUCCAAAGACACUUUUUGGCCUACCCAAUACUAACAGUGCUAUUUUAAAAACAUUUGUUCAUUCAUUCAUUCACUCAUCAAAGAUCUGGAGCCUGUGUUGGCAUGGUUGGCUUUUGGGUCCUAUGGUUUCUGUUGCAAUUACUCAACAGUAGUUGAAAGCAGGUCUAGAUGAUAUGGAAAUGAAUGGGUGUGACUGUAUUCCAGUAAAACUUUAUGGACACUGAAAUCUGAAUGUCGUAUGUUGUUCAAGUGUCAUGAAAUAUUAAAAUUUUUUUCUUCAAUUAUUUAAAGUGGUAAAAACCAUUCUUAGCUUGUGGGUUGUAAAACUCAGGUGGUGAGCCGAAUUUGGCCUCUGGUCUGUAACCUUGGUCUAGAGUCCCUCCUGAAGGCCUGCCACA